CAGUAGCCGCGGGAAUACGUAGGGUGCGAGCGUUAAUCGGAAUUACUGGGCGUAAAGCGUGCGCAGGCGGUUUUGUAAGACAGGCGUGAAAUCCCCGGGCUCAACCUGGGAAUGGCGCUUGUGACUGCAAAGCUAGAGUGCGGCAGAGGGGGAUGGAAUUCCGCGUGUAGCAGUGAAAUGCGUAGAUAUGCGGAGGAACACCGGUGGCGAAGGCAAUCCCCUGGGCCUGCACUGACGCUCAUGCACGAAAGCGUGGGGAGCAAACAGGAUUAGAUACCCCUGUAGUCCCUGUCUCUUAUAC
rnacentral:rRNA from 1 species